GACGAACGCUGGCGGUGUGCUUAACACAUGCAAGUGGAGCGACGAACCAGAGCUUGCUCUGGGGCAGAGCCGCGAACGGGUGAGUAACACGUGGGUAACCUACCCUGAUGACUGGGACAACCCGAGGAAACUCGGGCUAAUACCGGAUGUGCUCUCUUCUCAUGAGAGGAGCGAGUAAAGGAAGCUUCGGCCUCCGCAUCAGGAGGGGCCCGCGGCCUAUUAGUUUGUUGGUGGGGUAACGGCCUACCAAGACUGCGAUAGGUAGCUGGUCUGAGAGGACGAUCAGCCACACUGGGACUGAGACACGGCCCAGACUCCUACGGGAGGCAGCAGUGGGGAAUCUUGCGCAAUGCGCGACAGCGUGACGCAGCAACACCGCGUGGGGGAAGACGGCCUUCGGGUUGUAGACCGCUUUCAGCAGGAACGAAAAUGACGGUACCUGCAGAAGAAGGUGCGGCCAACUACGUGC
rnacentral:rRNA from 1 species